UUUUCGCCGCGCAACUGGCGAUACAUGGCCGGGUGCUUUCGAGUGCCCGAGCCUGAGGUGGUGAACCACCGGGAAGCGCGGCCAGCCCAAGCGGCUUUUUGAGCCCGGGCUGUGUCAGCCGUUCGCCUGGGCAGCCCUC
rnacentral:ncRNA from 2 species